rnacentral:rRNA from 1 species
ACGAACGCUGGCGGCGUGCUUAACACAUGCAAGUCGAGCGGUAAGGCCCUUUCGGGGGUACACGAGCGGCGAACGGGUGAGUAACACGUGGGUGACCUGCCCUCAGCUCUGGGAUAAGCCUGGGAAACCGGGUCUAAUACUGGAUAUGACUCCAUGACGCAUGUUGUGGGGUGGAAAGCCUUGUGCGGCUGAGGAUGGGCCCGCGGCCUAUCAGCUUGUUGGUGGGGUGAUGGCCUACCAAGGCGACGACGGGUAGCCGGCCUGAGAGGGCGACCGGCCACACUGGGACUGAGACACGGCCCAGACUCCUACGGGAGGCAGCAGUGGGGAAUCUUGCGCAAUGGGCGAAAGCCUGACGCAGCGACGCCGCGUGAGGGAUGACGGCCUGG